rnacentral:snRNA from 1 species
AUCGCUUCUCGGCCUUUUGGCUCAGAUCAAGUGUAGUAUCUGUUCUUAUCAGUUUAAUAUCUGAUACGUCCCCCAUCGGGGGACUACAUAUUAAAUGGAUUUUUCGAACAGGGAGUCGGAAAUGGGGCUUGCUCCGUCCGCUCCACGCAUCGACCCGGUAUUGCAGUACCUCCGGGAGCGGUGCAACACUU